UGCGCAUGUGCUGCCAACAAAAAGGCGUCAGCAACACACACACAAGUCACAGCUGAAAACCAUGCAAACCAUUCCCGUGGCGCACAAACAUAGACAACGUUUAGUCUGAUGUACACAUUUAUUAACAAAGGUCGUGGACGGUAGGAAGAACAAAAGCAGAAAUAUUAAAUAAAAUUACCAAGGUAAAUGUGAUUUUAAUUACAGAAAGAAAUUUGAUAUGCUGCAGUAAUUGCUUCCGAAUCGAAUAGGCCGAACAUAUAAUGUAAAACGUCCUGAAAUUUGGGAACUUUAAAAAUUGAAAUGCGAUCUACAAUUUAUGCAGCGAUGGAAUAUUUCAACGCAAAGGAUUU